AGUGAACGCUGGCGGUAGGCCUAACACAUGCAAGUCGAACGGCAGCACAGUAAGAGCUUGCUCUUACGGGUGGCGAGUGGCGGACGGGUGAGGAAUACAUCGGAAUCUACUUUUUCGUGGGGGAUAACGUAGGGAAACUUACGCUAAUACCGCAUACGACCUACGGGUGAAAGCAGGGGAUCUUCGGACCUUGCGCGAUUGAAUGAGCCGAUGUCGGAUUAGCUCGUUGGCGGGGUAAAGGCACACCAAGGCGACGAUCCGUAGCUGGUCUGAGAGGGUGAACAGGCAGACUGGAACUGAGACAGAGUACCGACUCCUACGGGGGGCAGCAGUGGGGAAUAUUAGACGAUGGGGGCGAGCCUGAUCCAGCCAUACCGCGUGAGUGAUGAAGGACUUCGGGUUGGAAAGCCCUGUUGUUGGGAAAGAAAAACAGCAGUUUAAUACCGCGCUGUUCUGACGGUACCCAAAGAAUAAGCACCGGCUAACUUCGUG
rnacentral:rRNA from 1 species